rnacentral:rRNA from 1 species
GUGUAACUGGGGGCCAGGGGCAGGGUGAAUCGAGGGGGGGGAAGCGUUAGUCGUGAGUAUUAGGCGUAAAGGGAGUGUAGGUGUUUUCUUAAGUCGGAGGUGCACGCCCGGGGCUCAACCCGGGAAGUGCAUCGGAGACUGGGAGGCUAGAGUACUGGGGAGGUUGGUGGAAUUCCGCGUGUAGCGGUGAAAUGCGUAGAGAUGAGGGGGAACGCCAGUGGCGAAGGCGGCCAACUGGACAGUAACUGACGCUGAGGCGCGAAAGCGUGGGUAGCAAACAGGAUUAGAUACUCGGGUAGU